rnacentral:misc_RNA from 1 species
AAGCGACAGGCGGCCUUAGCACAUGAUCUUGAGAAGUAUCCAAAGAUGUUGGCGGAAUCCACUGCCACAUACCCAUCGGUGGGAAGCUCCGAUAUGGCAUGUUUUUGUUGCAAGCAGCGAAAGCAACAGCAUGGUACGCUGCGGCAGCAGGAUGCGAUACUAGCGGUGGUACUAGAGUCAUCCCUUUCAGCAUCUGCUCAACCCGCUCUUUCUCGGCCUUA